UACGGGGGGGGCUAGCGUUGUUCGGAUUUACUGGGCGUAAAGCGCACGUAGGCGGAUCUUUAAGUCAGACGUGAAAUCCCUCGGCUUAACCGGGGAACUGCGUCUGAUACUGGAUGGCUUGAGAUUGGGAGAGGGAGUGCGGAAUUCCAGGUGUAGCGGUGAAAUGCGUAGAUAUCUGGAGGAACACCGGUGGCGAAGGCGGCAUCCUGGACCAACACUGACGCUGAGGAGCGAAAGCCAGGGGAGCAAACGGG
rnacentral:rRNA from 1 species